GGGCUUGACAUCCCACGAACCUGCCCGAAAAGGUGGGGUGCCCGCAAGGGAGCGUGGAGACAGGUGGUGCAUGGCUGUCGUCAGCUCGUGUCGUGAGAUGUUGGGUUAAGUCCCGCAACGAGCGCAACCCUCACCCCUAGUUGCCACCGGGUUAAGCCGAGCACUCAAGGGGAACUGCCAGCGUCAAGCUGGAGGAAGGCGGGGAUGACGUCAAGUCAUCAUGCCCCUUACGCCCUGGGCUACACACGUGCUACAAUGGCCAGUACAAAGGGACGCGAGACUGCGAAGUGGAGCUAAUCCCAAAAAGCUGGUCUAAGUUCAGAUCGCAGUCUGCAACUCGACUGCAUGAAGGAGGAAUCGCUAGCAAUCGCGUAUCAGCCCGGCGCGGUGAAUACGUUCCCGGGCCUUGUACACACCGCCCGUCACACCACGGAAGCUGUCUGUACUCGAAGUCGCUGAG
rnacentral:rRNA from 1 species